rnacentral:lncRNA from 1 species
UAUUUUACAUAUUAUUUUAUUUUCUGUUUUUCUAAAGUCCUUGCUUUUUAUAAAUGUAAUGGUCCUAAAUUACUCAUUUCAUUAGAUUUACAUAGAUUUUAUGUGUCUUUACUAUCAAAGGAAUUAAGAAUUCUUUAUUUUGUUCAACAUACGUGGCCCGUCAACACAAAAACAAGCUAGAACAAUUUUUCUCAAAAAGGAAUCAAGAUUACGCUUGUAUUUUUGUAAAUUUCUAUCAAUAAAUUAUUAUAUUAAGUAGUAAAAAUCCAUCGUCCCAAUGAUAAAAUUAGAAAUCAAUAAAGAUUUUAUGGUUAAAAGGAUCCAAUUUAAUGCCAAAUGAACCUUCUUAUAAGUCUAAAGAAAGUUUGAACCAUUAAUAUUUUUUUUGAGUAUCUCAACUCCUCCAAAAAGUUGAAUACAAAGCCUUCAAGUUUUUGAAUUAUGUUUGAUAUCGCAUUUUCAUUAACGUCAUAAAUUGCAUCAUAAAUAAAGAAGACGCCAUUUUAGGGGCUCUAAAUUGAUGUUUUAAUACAUAAAAUGUACAAAUUUCCAAUAAAUCUUUAUUAAACUCCAUCAAAUGGUCUUAACACUAAUAAAAGACUUAAAAAGACUGCUUUGAAUACUUCUUGAUUGUAAUGAUUAACAGUUGAUAUUUGAAUAUAAUCAAAGUAAUAUGUACAGAUAAAUACCUAUUUGUAUGAUUAUUUUUGUUGUCGGUCUAUUAAGGACGAUCCAAUUGUAAAAUAUCUUAUUACUUCCAGUGUAAUAGUUAAUUUUUAUCUACAAUAUUGAAAUAAGAUUGUAAAACGAUGUAAUAACAUAUACAUUUUAGUGUCCGAUAUAUAAUAAAACUAAAUAUUAGAGGGAUACUUAUUUGUUGUAAGUUAAGUCCUUCAAUUUUUUGUUCCCAUUUUGAGAUACAUUAGUUCAGUAUUUUCCUUAAUAUUAGUGUUGGAUCAAUCUUAGGGCAUAUUUUCUAAUAAGUCUGAUCUGUUUUACCAUUCAACUGUCCUAAGGACCGAUCAUCGGUCCUUCUGUCCUAGCUAUGUUUUGCUUUUCUUCACUCCUGGCUAAGAUUGAAUAAUAUAAAACGAAGAAAAUAAUGAAUUAUAGCUAGAACUUAUUAUACUUAAUGAUCAAACUUUCUAGCCACACACAUUUAACAAUAAACUUAAAGUAUCUAGUCUCUUUGAAAGAAAUUAUGUUGAACAGUUGAAAUAACGUAAUUGGUAACUACGCCAUUUCAGUUAUUGUUGUUACCAUAAAAUACCGAUAAGGACCUGAAAAUUUUUAUUAUGACUUGACUGUAUUUAGACCGAUCCAACACUAUUUAAUAUUAGUGAAAAAUGGGGUUUCUUUUUUUAAAAGUUGGUAGUUGAUAACUCUAAUGUUUCAUUGGAUGCCUCUACCAAAAUGGCCGACAUCAACAAUGCUGACUUCACUUGAAAACGCUUUAUAUAUGAUGUACACAAAAUUAAUGGUGUGUUUCUUCUAACAAUCUUGAUUUAUAUGUGUUCAGGAUUGUUUUUUUUUGUUAACAGUCAACAUUUAGUACAUACUAAGUACUAAAUGUUGACCAUUCACACGAAAACAAUCCAUAGGCAAGAAGUUCUUCAAAUGACGGAUACAAGAAAACCAGCAUUCACUUAUAUACACAGCCAAUACAGUAUUACGUAUGAUAAAUAUUCUUACUAAAUCAAAUCUACACAAAGAACGAGUAGGAAGUACUUGGAUGUAUUAUGAUAUCGGAUUCAAACAUGCCUGAGUGAUGAACCAUUUUGACCAUAAAGUAAUGGAUUUGUGACUGCAAAUGUUGUAAAUUUUCUAAUUCCAGAGUUCAUAUUGAGUGUAAUCUGUUUAUUAUUACUAUAUAAAUAAUUAUAAAAUAACCAUUAAAUAAAAUAAAGACCCAUCAACAUCAAAAA